CAGAACCUGUCCUCUUGCUUGGUUGGACAGCACCACUAGAAGUUGCCGUGCAUUGAAGCUGCUUCCAAGCCCUACCACCAUGAGGACAAGUCAACAGAUAGAAGUCCAAGCAAUGCCCAAGUGCCCAACGGGAAAACCAGUUAAAAGUUUCAUGUCAAAAUGACCUACCUCCAACAAUGAAAUGAAGCCACCAUGAUGGGCUUUGGUGAAGUGUAAGGGUCAAAUGCACAAAGAAAACUUGAUGUAUAUCCAACCCAGACCGAAUCUUAAGCUGCAGUGUGAUCCUGGUUGCAGUCCAUGUAUGUAGAUAUUAAGACUGGAGUGAUCUGUGUUUACAAACAUGGAGACUGAGGUCCUGAAAUGAGCAAGGACUACUCAGAGGUCAUAAAGAUGGUUACUGGUGAACCCUGGAGUAGAACAUAAAUAACCUGACUUCUAGACACCUCUUUGUGACACUGGAAUACACCAAAGGACAAAGGCUACACUUUCUUUGAAGAUAAGGAUGAAGUCAGCAAGAAAGAAAGGUUGAUGUUAGCAUGAGUUCCUCUGACAGUAAGUGUAGCCUCUGUCCGUGAGUGACCAGACCUAUAGAGUAAGUAGACUCCUACAGCUGAGCACAAUUCAGCUCUCCGAUGCAAGGAACCCAUCAGCAGGGAUGCUGCUGCUCUUUAUCAUUCUAGUUCAUUAAUACAGCUGUGUUAUACCACA